rnacentral:rRNA from 1 species
UAGCGGCGAGUGAAGCGGCAAUAGCUCAAAUUUGAAAUCUGCCAACAGGCCGAGUUGUAAUUUGAAGAAAGCAAUUCUGGGUGUGUCUUUGCUCAAGUUCCUUGGAAUAGGACAUCAUGGAGGGUGAGAAUCCCGUGAUGCGAAGGUAGCACAUCUCUGUAGAAUGUUUUCGACGAGUCGAGUUGUUUGGGAAUGCAGCUCAAAGUGGGUGGUAAAUUCCAUCUAAAGCUAAAUAUUGGCGAGAGACCGAUAGCGAACAAGUACUGUGAAGGAAAGAUGAAAAGAACUUUGAAAAGAGAGUGAAAAAGUACGUGAAAUUGUUGAAAUGGAAGGGCUUGAGAUUAGACAUGGUGUUUAGUGUUCCACUUUCUUUUGGGAAUGUGUACUCGCUUUUCACCGGGCCAGCAUCAGUUUUGGUGGAAGGAUAAAUAGUAUUGAAUGUGGCUGCUUGCAGUGUUAUAGCUUUACUAAAUACUUCC